UCAUCUAUAGAGAGCAUUACUAGAUCCAAGUUGGGGAAUCAUGGCAGGGACUGGAGCCCUGCAUUCUACCUUUGCUGUUACUUAGCUGUGUGACCUUUAGCAAGUCACUGGCCAGGUCUGGAUCACGGUUUUCUCAUCUGUACAUGAAAAGGUCAGGCUGAAAUAUUUCAAAGGCCUCCAUUCAGAUCCAAGUUUCUGGAACUUUUUAUGUUUUCAGCUUCUCAUGAGUGACUGGGAGCCACACUUACCCUAUGUCCACACAACCACCUGGAGCCGAGUAGAUGUGGCUUCUGCUAAAAAUGACAUCUCAUGUCUGUCCAGGUCCUGGUCCUCCAUUCCACUCAGGGGCAGGGCCUUUCUUCAUGUCCUGGUUGACCCAGAGGCCCCGAGUCUGUGGUCUGGGUUCCCCUGUUUCCUUAGGCUGAGCCAGUUGUAUCCACAGAACUCAAUUCUCCUCCACACCCGAAGCUGCUCGGAAAUGUCCUUCCAGCAUUACCUGCACCAAUGGUAAUAGGCAGCUAUGCUCACUGGGAAAGAAAAUCUGAACAAG
rnacentral:lncRNA from 1 species